GCCACGUGCUGACCGAUCGAUGGCCUCGAAGGCGCGAAGUUCUAUCGCAGUGGAUGAGUCGCCUUGCUAAGCGUAAGAAGCGGCAAGUGGCUCAAAACGCUUGAAAGGUGGAAGAAGAGAAAAUGGCAAGAAAUUCUUCAAACGUUGGUGUGGCUGCACUCUCGGAUGACAGUUCAACAGUUGAAAUGGGUAUCGAGGCAGUGUCAGGAAAUCUCAAGCUGUCAGACGAUCGGCAUGAAAUUGCAAUGUUUAGACGCAAGUUUGACAUUUGCUAAGCCUAGCUACUUCUUAGCUAAACAGAACAUAGCGUUUGCCAAGUAUUCUGCUGUUGCUGUGGAACUUGAGGAUCGAGCGUCAUGGUGUGGAUUUGCAUGGUGGCUCAUCUAGGAGACAAAAGAAUCAUCUUGCACAAUCUAGUGUACAUUGCUGUGAGUCACUACCGAUUCUUUCUGGAUGUUGCUAUCUAUCCUGUCAACGCCCGUGGAGUCAACAAGGAGACUCCUCUGCAUGUUGCAGCUGUCCAUGGAAAUAUUCGGGCUGUGCAGUUGUUGGUCAUGUAUGAUCCGAGAGACAAGAAGCAG